UACGUAGGGUGCAAGCGUUAAUCGGAAUUACUGGGCGUAAAGCGUGCGCAGGCGGUUUUGUAAGUCUGAUGUGAAAUCCCCGGGCUCAACCUGGGAAUUGCAUUGGAGACUGCAAGGCUAGAAUCUGGCAGAGGGGGGUUGAAUUCCACGUGUAGCAGUGAAAUGCGUAGAGAUGUGGAGGAACACUGAUGGCGAAGGCAGCCCCCUGGGUCAAGAUUGACGCUCAUGCACGAAAGCGUGGGGAGCAAACAGG
rnacentral:rRNA from 1 species